CACGUUUACGGACACGAGCAGCUAAAGAUAUUUGGGUCCUUGAUACUGUGAACCAAAUUUAGAAGGCGUAAAGACUCUUUUUCUUUGCCAUAUCCGACAAACUCUUCUUUCAAAACCACUGUUUCCCAAUCAGUUCACCAAAUAAGUUUUGAUUUUGUAAAGGCGAAUUUGAACCCAACCCACCCUCUGUUUUCGGUUGAAGAUCGGUCUCGCAAAGAUUUACUAGCUUCUUGUACCUAAUGAUUUGGAUUUUCAUUGACGCAUAUGAAUUGAUGUAUUUUCGGGUUGAACAAAGAGCUAUCGGUUUGCAUCGAAAUGCAUGUAAGAAUUUACAUUUUGGCGUUUUAUUACGAUGGGAAGCUAGGUGACUCUACUUUAGGAACGUCGGGCCUAAGUGACAUCCCACCAACUCGAUGGCUACCUGGAAGAUCGUUGCGGCAACGAUGGCUGGUAACCAGAACUACCCUGACGGUGGCUAUGGCCAUGUGAAUAGUAGAGUAAAUUUUGUUUGCGGCUCUUAAUCUUUUUAUGAUUUACAUUUGCAUAAGAAUUAUAUUUCUAUAUUUCUGUUUAGCUGGUGUUUUUGUUUAUUAUCCAUGUUUAGUUCUCGCAUCGUGUUUUUGUUGUUAUACCCUCUACUGGGCAUCCGCUCACCCCCUUUGUUUUGUUUUCCCCCCGCCGGGUAGAGCUUACGGAAGCAUUAGCGCUAUGAAAGUUAGUAUUCUGUUAUUUUUGAUGUGUAUAUCACGGGGUACCUGGGUGUUUAGUUUGUUUGCCUUGAUACCAUGUCUUUUUUUUUGUACAUUUUGCUGUUAUCAUUGGGGUCUUGUAAAUGAUCUUUAUAUGAUCUGUAACUGAAAACUUGCCGGUUUGGUAUAUAAUGGGUCCGUCUUGGGUGUUGCAACAGUGCUUUUGAAUCCCUUUUGUUGUCAUAUAUCUAUAUACUUCAUGCAUACUCAUUUAUGCGUUAUUGAGUGUUUGUUUUGAUUUUUUUCGGAACUCUUGAACUUGAUUAAUUUUCUUGAUUUUUUCAAAACUCUUGAACUUGAUUAAUUUUGCUGCGUUGGAUCAUGGUAUAAAAUGUAUAUGUUUUCUCUACCGUUUUACUCUAAGCACCUUAAAGUCAUUUCUAAACUGUGUCCUUCACUAGUUUCUUCUUAUAUAAAUCUUUUCUGUUUAUGUAUCGUUUUACAAGUCGAGUGACGUGUUGGUGGGUUUGGCCUUGCUAAUGGGUUGAAAAUCAGCCCAUUAGGAGGGAAAAUUCACCAGUCCGUUACAGUUCUGAUCUUUAUCGUAAGCACUGAACCUUGCUACUUACUCUAUAAUCAACAUGACUUAUAUGUCCGUAUUCAACUGUGGAGUUUGAAUUGUGGUAAUUGUUUUUCUAUCUACUUUGCUUACACUUGUUACUUAUUUGAUCGUGGAAAAGGGUUUGGUGGAUAUAUUAUGGAUCCUAAUAGUGGGACAUUUAUCAAUGAGUUUGUUUUGGAUCAUGGGUACCAACUGGAUUUGUUAUUGCCAGCCGUCAUUCUGUUUUUAUUUGUGUGGUUGUCUUUGGAAGCUGAGAAUAGUAUUGGUAGUCGUAAGCUGUAUAAGAGACAUAUUGUUGUGCUUCAGAUUCUUUCGGAACAAUGUGAAAUCCUCUUGGAGGUCCUUCCAGCUUCUAUCUCCAAUGUGAACAGUCAUUUUUAUCUCCACACUACGGGGGCCAACUUUCAAUUCGCGUCAUUGAGGGUAUUUCCUUUGAGAUGGAAGUUUGCAGCAGAUAAUGAUGCUCAUCCCAAUGAUAUACUGGAGCGAAGUCCUGGUCAGGUUACACUAUGGCUUACAGUCAUGGAUUGUAUUGGUAGUCAAUUUCUGGGAGCUAGAAUAAUUAAGUGGUAGCUAGCCUUCUCCUUAUAUCCAAGGCUAGGUUUGAGUUUGCAAGGGUGUGGCACGACAAGCAAGGAAGAAUUUUUCUUCUGUUUUGGUUUACAAGGGAGUCGCACUUCUUAUACAGCAGGACUGCCAUACAAGAACUGUUAUCUACCAAGGGAGGUACAACAUAUCGGGGCAUCACUACAACCUGGACUAUAAGAAGUUCUCCACACCAAUUGAGAUGAUAAGUACCUUAGCCUCCACCUUGUUCCUCACUGACAUAUUUACAAGUGAAGCUGCUACUAAAGUCUGCCCAGCUGCACAUGUACCUGCCAUAUGAGAAGGUGUCCUACGACUAAGUUCUUCAUCCUUGAGGACAAGGAUGUUUCCAAGGAUUGGGGAAUGUCAUGUACCUGCCAUAUGAGAAGGUGUCCCCUAGUCUGUUACUUGUUAUCCCAUAUAUCUUAGUAGUAAUAAUGUCGAGUUAAUCAGUUAGUGUUUAAUUGAGUUGUAAUUGAUGGUUUAGAUGAGGCCAUCUGGGGUGUUAAUAACCGUUGGAUAUUCGUGGAGAUACCUAGCUAUAUAAGGCAGGUCUGUAAUGAGAAACUCUUAAGAAAUGAAUAAUCAAAAAGAUCGUUUUAACGA